UACGGGGGGGGCAAGCGUUGUUCGGAAUUACUGGGCGUAAAGGGUUCGUAGGUGGCCAACUAAGUCAGACGUGAAAUCCCUCAGUUUAACUGGGGAACUGCGUCUGAUACUGGUCGGCUUGAGUGCAGGAGAGGAACGCGGAAUUCCAGGUGUAGCGGUGAAAUGCGUAGAUAUUAGGAAGAACACCAGUGGCGAAGGCGGCUCACUGGCCCGGUACUGACGCUGAGGCGCGAAAGCGUGGGGAGCAAACAGG
rnacentral:rRNA from 1 species